AGAGUUUGAUCCUGGCUCAGAUUGAACGCUGGCGGCAUGCUUUACACAUGCAAGUCGAACGGCAGCGGGGGCUUCGGCCUGCCGGCGAGUGGCGAACGGGUGAGUAAUGCAUCGGAACGUGCCCAGUCAUGGGGGAUAACUACGCGAAAGCGUAGCUAAUACCGCAUACGCCCUGAGGGGGAAAGCGGGGGAUCGUAAGACCUCGCGUGAUUGGAGCGGCCGAUGUCGGAUUAGCUAGUUGGUGGGGUAAAGGCCUACCAAGGCGACGAUCCGUAGCGGGUCUGAGAGGAUGAUCCGCCACACUGGAACUGAGACACGGUCCAGACUCCUACGGGAGGCAGCAGUGGGGAAUAUUGCACAAUGGGCGCAAGCCUGAUGCAGCCAUGCCGCGUGUAUGAAGAAGGCCUUCGGGUUGUAAAGUACUUUCAGCGGGGAGGAAGGGGAUGUGGUUAAUAACCGCAUCCAUUGACGUUACCCGCAGAAGAAGCACCGGCUAACUCCGUGCCAGCAGCCGCGGUAAUA
rnacentral:rRNA from 1 species